AUUCUUACCUGGCAUCUGGGUUACCGUGAUCACUAUGGCAGUUCCCUCAGAGCGAAGCCUUCCCAUUGGGCUUCGGCUUGGCUGACCUCUGCAUAUAUCCCAAAUGCGGAUAUCUUGGGUGUGUAAUUUUUGAUAAAGUUUC
rnacentral:snRNA from 13 species